rnacentral:lncRNA from 1 species
AUGUCAUUCAGAACAAUACCAGUGAUGUUGUGCUAGGACAUGGAGGACAAAGGCUGGACUCCCUGCAGCCUGUCAUUCAGAGGCUGGUGGCUGUCAAUUUGUGUCAACUCAUCUCCUAGUAUUUUUGGGGGCAGGUCAGCCAGCCCAUUCAUUCUCUUGCCCCAGGACUAUUGUAGGACCAUAUAGGUGCCAAAGAGACAGAAUGAGCUUAAUUUUCCAGACUGAGGUUCACGGUUACACUGGUAAAUUAAAUCCCCAAAUACAGGUGAUGGCACUUGGCCUGGUCUGCCCAGGUUUCAGCUGUGUGGCUGCCCCCUCCACCUCUCCCUGUGAGUGCUUGAGGCCCAUGGCUUUGGUCUGCUCUGAGGAGCGCUUCACAGAGGAUGCUGGAAGCACUUGGGGAGCGUGGGGGUAUCAGACCUCCGGACAGAUGUUGUGACCUCUGGAAGUCAGCCUGCCUUUUGGGCUGUCAAGGCCAGCUCCUGAGACUGAGCCGUGAAACUGAGCCUCCUGCAGGAGCCCGGGACACCUUCCGUUCCUAGUAGACUCCAUCACGUCCAUGAGGCAGCAUUCUGUACCAAAGGGAGGGAGGACGGGAAGGAGGAAAGGCAUCCUUGUGGGUCAGAGGCUUGGGAAAGGGGCGGGGAGCCCAGGGCCUUGGGGAUCACCCAAGGCCUUGGGGAUGGGAAAGAACCAGAGCUGUCUGAUCGUUUCCACCGUGUAGAGGCGGUACAGUUGGUGUCACUUUGGGCUGGUUUGGUUUCUUACAUCAAACACUUCCCUUGCUAAUAAGCUCACAGAGCUCUGUUCCUCUCUUUAGAAGAGUGUGUAGGUGACGUAGCUCUGGCAGCCGUUUCCUGUGUUUUUUCAACUCUAGCUUUUUCAUCUCCCCACACCUCUCGGUUACAGAUUCUGAUUCUUCAGACUCACUCCUCUCCUUCUCACCUCCUUGUGUAGGUCCUUCUAAAAAGCUCAGUGCCAACCUCCUGCCAUUGAUUGAGCACCACUUGUGUGCCAGGUGUGUGUUCAGCAUCAUCCAGGCACUUAUUUAAUCUUCCUAGCAGGUUUAGCUAUACAGCUUCAGUUUACAAAUGAGCAAACAAGCCCAGAGAGAUUUAGCAACUUGCUCAGGGGUACACAGCUUCUUAUAAGUGGUGGAACUGGGAUUUGAGCUUCUUUCUAUCCAUCUGAUCCCAAAAGCUGUGCCCCCAGCAUGGCCUCCUGGCACUGCCCUGCUCUGCAAGGUGAGAGGCAGCUCUUCAAAUCUCACUUUUGUAUCUGUGAUGUUGGUGAAGGGGAAUGAGCAUGCCUUCAGCAGCUGCUUCCAGAGAGUGACAGGACCACACUAUCAAGGGCUUCAGGUGUUUGCUUUUGGCAGAAGUUCCUCCAGGCCUUCCUGUUGCUCCAAGCAGGCUGUCAGGGAGCCUUUACCCUCCUCUAGGGAGGCAGCUGCUAUUUCCAGCUCAGUGAUUUGAGCAGGCCUCCCAAAGAAAGUGUUAUUGCAAACCUGGCCUUUAUCCCUCCCUGUUCCAGGGACUGCAACUCCUGGCUCUAGCUGGAGAUCUAGAUUGCAAGAUAAGGAAAGAGCUGGGCCAAUUUUCUGGUCACUUCUUGGCACCAAACUCUCAUGUUUUUACAGCAACCACAGGCCCUACAUCCUUCCUGGAGAACACAAGCAAACUCACCUCUCCCCACUUUCCCAGCCCCUGGAGGCGGCUGUUUUGAUUUGCUAUGCUCACAGCCUCCCUUCACUGGGCAGGGGCUUCCAUAUGGCCCAGGUUAGAAGAGGAUGAUUUCCAGGGGGCUCCUGGAAAUGUGUUUCAGGUGGGCUCCUGGGCAUUUGGCCUGUCUACUGCCUCUUCGUCUCUGUUUGCUUUGCCUGAUUGUGUUUUCUCUGCUGAUUUGUCUAAGUUUCUUUCCCUCACUUUGUCCAAGGUGCAUCUGGUACCCAUUUGGCUGGGAGAGAGCAGAAGCAGCGUGGUUAAUUGAAUGCUUGGCACAGGGCUGCAAGAAGCAAACCGAGGAGAAAGGCAAGGGCUAGAAGGGCAAGGAGAAUGUGGUUGAUUGGAGCCUUUGCACAGCGCAGAAAUUCUGCAACCUCCCUGGUUUCUGUCCAGAAAGAAAGCCUCAAGAAGGUGAAAGGAAGGACUUUGAGUCAUUCUGAAACUUGAUGGCAACUCCUGCUUCAGUGGAAGCCCCACCAUGGCCCAUCCUUCUCUCACAAGGCCCGUGGCUUCUGGGCAGGUGGCCAGGGUACCACCAGGCCCUGCUUGCUGGGAGGGAAGAAUGAAAGGGCUAGAAAAGAUCACCUGUGUCUCUAUUCUUGUUUUCAUCUAGUUUGUAGUCUGGCCUCUGGUUGUACAGCAGGAGUUUUGGCUCAGGACCUUGGUCUGGUGCCAGAAUGCCAAGUAGAAGUGAAACAGCACCACUUGGAAUCCCCAUUUCUGGCAGGGCCCCAGGGCCAGCCCAGCCGCAGCAGGGGAGACUCUCGGCCCAGUUACCUGCCUGUCUGUGCCUCAGACUUUGAGAGACCAAAAAAAGCACAGAGUUUGAAUCUCACAUUGGGCUCCUAUUUGAUAUAUGCCAUCCAAAUAAGUGCCUGUUCAUUUUGGGCCUCAGUGUCCCCAUCUGUAAAAUGCAACACAUCACAUUGUUCUGAAGAGUAAAUGAAAUGAUUCAAAACACGCAUCAGUUCUGCAUCUCAUUAAAGACUCCACAUAUAUUACUUCAUUCACUUCACACAGCCCUAGGAGGAAGGACUAUUGUUUUAUGGAGAAGCAGAGAUGGGAUAGGCUGGGAUCUGGCACCCUUGACCAGCGUGCGUGCACCCGGACAAAGUCUUCUCCAGCAACAGCAUAUAAAGAAACUAUAAGGGAAUACAAGUAACCACACAUGUGCAGUUGUGGCAAUUAUGAACAACAGGCCACAAACCAACAGCCAUUUUUUAGAUUCCAGGAGCAAAAGCAGAGUACUGCCCAGGGCACCACCAAGGGGGUGGGUUGACUACAUACGUUAUGCCCCCUGCCCAACCUGCAGACCUACCCCCAUCGUUAUCCCACCCAAGUGGCUACUCUCCAGGCCUGAGCAAGGGCACCUGUUUUCUGUUUUUGCUCCUUUGUGCUGCAUCACAAGCCCCAAUAAAGCCUUGCCUGAAAUUCUUACCUGGUCUGUUAUCAAUUUUGAUUGAUUAAAAGAGCCUGGAUGGGUAACAGAAGCUAAUGACACAUCCAUGGUCUCACAGCCAGGAAGUGGCAGGGGUGGCAGAGCCCAGACUCCAGGUGGGGUGUCUGGCCCAGACCCUGCACAUCUAGGCCAUGCUCUCCUGCCUCUAGGUAAGCGGGGAAGCUCCUGGUGCCUGGUGGGAAGACACACACUGAACGCCAGCCCUUUCUGUCACUGCCUCGGGCUGUGGAGCUGCUCAGGGAGUUACCCUGGUUGCUCUCUGGAAGGACAGUGACAUGGAGACCAGCAAACAAAGCACAAGAACGAGUGAAAAAAGAGGAGGCUGGGUCAGGAAGGACAUGCAAGACGCUGACACAAGCAAGGUCAGUGGGGAACCCCUGGAGUUGGGGCAUGGGAACUGGGUCCUCCCUGGCCUGGGCCCUCAGGGGAUGCUCUGGAAAUCCACACAGUCUCUUUCUGACCGGGUCUGAGGAGUUGGCGAGGUCAGACUGCUGGUCCUCUGAGCAUCUCUAGGUUUAGGGCUCCUCCAGCCCAUUGCUCCUGCCCAGCUGCCUUUCAGAGGAUGCGCUUGCUCCCCAGACUUGUCUGCUGUCCCUGCCUCUCCUUAAUGAGGGCGAGUCAGGAGUUCCCAUCGUGGCGCAGUGGUUAACGAAUCCGACUGGGAACCAUGAGGUUGAGGGUUCACGCCCUGGCCUUGCUCAGUGGGUUGACGAUCCUGCAUUGCCGUGAGCUGUGGUGUAGGUCGCAGACGCGGCUCGGAUCCCACGUUGCUGUGGCUCUGGCAUAGGCUGGUGGCUACAGCUCCGAUUUGACCCUUAGCCUGGGAAUCUCCAUAUGCUGUGGGAGCGGCCCAAGAAAUGG